GUGCCACUCGAGUGAUCUAACUUUGCAUCUCUAGGAUCAAGUUGUGUGAUAAAUUAAGUGACUAAUCCUUUGAAAAAUGAUUGUGAAAAUGCUAACACACUUACACAUGGUGGUGCACACUUGGUAGCGUUGGCACAUUUGCAAAGGAGAAGUUGUUGGACUUAAUUUGGAUCAACUUGGAGAAGAGAAAAAGGUUUUUGGGUGUGUUUCGAAUUAUGUGAUGGAUCUUGGAUU
rnacentral:lncRNA from 1 species